rnacentral:rRNA from 1 species
AACGAACGCUGGCGGCAUGCCUAACACAUGCAAGUCGAACGAGACCUUCGGGUCUAGUGGCGCACGGGUGCGUAACGCGUGGGAACCUGCCCUUAGGUUCGGAAUAACUCCCCGAAAGGGGUGCUAAUACCGGAUAAUGUCUUCGGACCAAAGAUUUAUCGCCAUUGGAUGGGCCCGCGUUGGAUUAGCUAGUUGGUAGGGUAAAAGCCUACCAAGGCGACGAUCCAUAGCUGGUCUGAGAGGAUGAUCAGCCACACUGGGACUGAGACACGGCCCAGACUCCUACGGGAGGCAGCAGUGGGGAAUAUUGGACAAUGGGCGAAAGCCUGAGCCAGCAAUGCCGCGUGAGUGAUGAAGGCCUUAGGGUUGUAAAGCUCUUUUACCCGGGAUGAUAAUGACAGUACCGGGAGAAUAAGCUCCGGCUAACUCCGUG